AACGAACGCUGGCGGCAUGCCUAACACAUGCAAGUCGAACGGGACCUUCGGGUCUAGUGGCGCACGGGUGCGUAACGCGUGGGGAUCUGCCCUUAGGUACGGAAUAACUCAGGGAAACUUGAGCUAAUACCGUAUAAUGACUUCGGUCCAAAGAUUUAUCGCCUAGGGAUGAACCCGCGUAGGAUUAGCUUGUUGGUGAGGUAAAGGCUCACCAAGGCGACGAUCCUUAGCUGGUCUGAGAGGAUGAUCAGCCACACUGGGACUGAGACACGGCCCAGACUCCUACGGGAGGCAGCAGUGGGAAUAUUGGACAAUGGGCGAAAGCCUGAUCCAGCAAUGCCGCGUGAGUGAUGAAGGCCUUAGGGUUGUAAAGCUCUUUUACCGGGAUGAUAAUGACAGUACGGGAGAAUAAGCUCCGGCUAACUCCGUGCCAGCAGCCGCCGCGGUAA
rnacentral:rRNA from 1 species